rnacentral:lncRNA from 1 species
CUUAAGGCAUAAAAACGACUAUGAGCAAAAAUACAAGGGGGGAGGGCCUAAAAAACUAAAAGGAGCUAACGCAGGAAGAGGCUCCACCGUCUUUAGAAAAUCAGGAAGCUUCCCCGUCUUCUUCUCCAGAAAACCAACAACCUUCAGCCCAACACCACGCCAUCUGCCACCAGCCCCAACCCCAUUCCCAUCGUCGCUGCUUCUCCAUCCCAAAAAUUCCAGCGACCUCCCUUAACCUCCAAGCCUGAGCCGCUCAAACAGCCACAAAUCCAACUCUCUAGUAAAAAAAAAAUGGACUUCGCCUGAGGAAUAGAGUUUUUGUAGUAUUCGAAUUCGAGCUCUCGUAUGUCGUUCGAGGUUGAAGGGUCGCGAUUAUUGUCCCUGAUUUCAUAGCUUGUUUCUUUUUUCGAUCAAAUUUCAUCGCCAGAUUGCGCACACAGUCAGGCCAAGUGUGUCUUUGUACUCACUAAUCUUACUCGUUUUUGUUUUAAAAAAAAAGAGCACAUCUCAGGUUCAUUUCUUAACUUCCUUCUCUCUUAUUUUGGAAACCUUAUAUGCUUGUGAGUUUUUAAUUGCAUUGAAUAUAUGAAUUGAUGUGUUUGAGUCUUGGAUUGACUGUAUGUUGUAUAUGCUUCUUGUGUUAUGCGUGCUUUAAACCAAAUGUUCUUGGUCGGAAAUUACAGUAACUGGCGUGUCUUCUUUGCUCGAUUGGUUCUGUUCGUUAUUGACUUCUUCCCUUAAUGUAGUCCAAUUAAUUUGAAUUGCAAAUCAAUAGUGUGACAUUAUGUUUGAAUUUAAAAAAAACGGAGUCAAAGUUUCAUAUUCAUUGUCCUACUUUAUUACUCUAAUUAAGUGUUUGGCAGAAGUAAACAAUUUCAAAUGUUGGUUUUCGAUUCAUUUGGUUGGUUGGAGAUUCUUGGUUUGAAAUCAAUUCAUGGAACUGUAAUUGGAAGACAAGGAUAACUAUUUUAAGUGGCUCCUGUUACGAUUUGAUUCACUCUUCGCCUUCUUAUAUUUGGACUGCUGAAACUUUUAUCUUUUUUAUAUUCUUAAUGAAACACAUGAAUUUAGGUGCCAUAAUUAUUUGGUUUAAUUUGCUGCAAAUGGGACAUGGGGUUGGGAUUCGGUAAAGUUAAAAGAACUUGAAUAUUAGAUAAACAUGGAUCAAUAAAGUUCAUAUAUGGCUUGAGUUUGGAUAUAAAGCAUUACAUUUUAUUUUUACUGUCGCAUUAUUUUUAUUUGUUACUUCAUUUUGCUUUGUAUUGUUUAAACCCGUUAGGAGCAUGCUUUAGGCCGACCACACUCGGAUAGGCAAGCCUUAGGAUUUUGUUAGUUUAGAGGCAAGGGGUCGUUCCCUUAGUUAAAUUUAUCCGGGGAAUGCCCCAAGGGAUUUGUAUAUAUUUUAUUUCCGGGGUAUGCCCCGAAGUGAAUGUAAUUGGAGGCCGUGGCGAACAUCGUAGAAGAAAUAGAGUAGGAUAAUUUAGAAC